GUAGAUGUUAGGAUGGGCAUGUUGGAGUCUCAUCAUAAUUUUGUUGUUCCAUAGAAAGCGAUAUACUUCAACCCAGAAUUCUGUCACAUAAUCAGUAGAUAAUGUUGUAGCAAGUAUUUUGUCAGCGUCACCAAUGUCCUCUAAACUUUUAUGCAAAACGUCCUCAACUAGUUGGGGUGGAACAAGAGGUAAUACUGCGGC
rnacentral:lncRNA from 1 species